GUGGGGAAUAUUGGACAAUGGGCGAAAGCCUGAUCCAGCCAUGCCGCGUGAGUGAUGAAGGCCUUAGGGUUGUAAAGCUCUUUCAGUGGGGACGAUAAUGACGGUACCCACAGAAGAAGCCCCGGCUAACUUCGUGCCAGCAGCCGCGGUAAUACGAAGGGGGCUAGCGUUGUUCGGAUUUACUGGGCGUAAAGCGCACGUAGGCGGAUCGUUAAGUCGGGGGUGAAAUCCUGGAGCUCAACUCCAGAACUGCCUUCGAUACUGGCGAUCUUGAGUCCGGAAGAGGUGAGUGGAACUCCUAGUGUAGAGGUGGAAUUCGUAGAUAUUAGGAAGAACACCAGUGGCGAAGGCGGCUCACUGGUCCGGUACUGACGCUGAGGUGCGAAAGCGUGGGGAGCAAACAGGAUUAGAUACCCGGGUAGUCC
rnacentral:rRNA from 1 species